rnacentral:lncRNA from 1 species
CAGUAGCACAUAAAAAUGUCCCAUUGUGUGUGCUCUCUUCUUCUUCUUCUUCUUCAUCUGUCGGCAAACAGACCCCACAUAAAAUCGAUAAUCCCAUGAUGUAGGCUAUGGCCGGCCAAGGAGAACAAAUAAUAGACUUCUUCUUCUUCUUCUUCUUCUUCUUCUUCUUCUUCUUCUAGUUAAUUUGUCCAAUUUCUUUAUUCCAUAUCAUAGUCUACAAUAGAGGCUUAAUUUCUCAUGCAAGAAAUGUAUCAUAACAUUUUCUCUGAAAGUUAUUGCUUACCAAAUUAAUUUAUGAAUUGAUGACUGUGAUUGUCAAUUUCUGUACCUCUCUAUAACCAUCAUUAAC